rnacentral:piRNA from 1 species
UCCAAGUACAUGCAGAUUCUGGAGUUGG